AUUGAACGCUGGCGGCAGGCCUAACACAUGCAAGUCGAACGGUAACAGGAAGAAGCUUGCUUCUUUGCUGACGAGUGGCGGACGGGUGAGUAAUGUCUGGGAAACUGCCUGAUGGAGGGGGAUAACUACUGGAAACGGUAGCUAAUACCGCAUAACGUCGCAAGACCAAAGAGGGGGACCUUCGGGCCUCUUGCCAUCGGAUGUGCCCAGAUGGGAUUAGCUAGUAGGUGGGGUAACGGCUCACCUAGGCGACGAUCCCUAGCUGGUCUGAGAGGAUGACCAGCCACAGUGGAUCUGAGACCCGGUCCAGCCUCCUCCGGAAGGCAGCAGUGGGGAAUAUUGAACAAGGGGCGCAAGCCUAAUGCACCCCUGCCGCGUGUAUGAAGAAGGCCUUCGGGUUUUAAAGUACUUUCAGCGGGGAGGAAGGGAGUAAAGUUAAUACAUUUGCUCAUUGACGUUACCCGCAGAAGAAACACCGGCAAACUCCGUG
rnacentral:rRNA from 1 species